GCAAAUUGAAAAUAGCUAGAAAACUGAAGUCAAGUUGAUGUCUGUUUAUACUAAGAAUGUACUCUGUAAGCUAAAUCAGUCAGUAUUGAUUUAACUUUGGUUCUUGAUGGUAGAAAUGAGUUUUCACAGCAUCACUGUGCUUGCUGUGAUUGAUGUUGACUCAGAAGAAUGAAGAAGUGAAACAAACUCUGAGUGUUCUAGCAAUGUGAUAAUCUAGUUGCUAGCCCAACUAAUCUUACUCUUCAAAAUAAUACGUUAUUUUGUAUUACUAAACUCAGAAUGUAAUUUUUAUAUUGUGCUUUCUUUCAGUAUUACUUGGUGGAAAAUUUGAAUUUGUACAAUGAGCUGAGAUACCUCAAGAACUUCACCAAAGCCCCUGGAAUUCAACUUGGGAAUGUUAACCAGAGCUGGAUCCACGUCGGAUCAGUGCAGGCUGUUUAGACAAAAAGUCCUGGUUUUCUGCUCAAGAGAGGUAAGUUUAAUUAUAUUUGCAAACAUAAAUACAUCUGCUUUACUUGUAUAACUUUCCCUGUUUUCUUCGCAAAUGAUUAAAAUUAGAACUGACUGUAUUAACUUUGUCUUUUUUCCAGUUAAAUUUUCACAGCUUCCAACGGGCUGCUCUGCUUGUCAACAGCUCUGCUGUUCCUUGUUGUGAUUUCAGAUUGCAUGGCUUUUAACUUCUUGGCAAUUUUACGAAUUUACAGGCAUCAUAGAAAUAAAAGCCUAUUUGAGUUCCGUGUGGGAGCUGUC
rnacentral:lncRNA from 1 species